GUGCCAGCAGCCGCGGUAAUACGGAGGGUGCAAGCGUUAUUCGGAAUUACUGGGCGUAAAGGGCGUGCAGGCGGUCCGAUAAGUCUGAUGUGAAAGCCCUGGGCUUAACCCGGGAAGUGCAUUGGAUACUGCCGGACUUGAGUAUCGGAGAGGAAGGGAGAAUUCCCGGUGUAGAGGUGAAAUUCGUAGAGAUCGGGAGGAACAUCAGUGGCGAAGGCGCCCUUCUGGACGAUUACUGACGCUGAGACGCGAAAGCGUGGGUAGCAAACAGGAUUAGAUACCCCGGUAGUCC
rnacentral:rRNA from 1 species